rfam:Sclerotinia borealis F-4128 unplaced genomic scaffold scaffold00029, whole genome shotgun sequence.
AUCUCGUUGGGCUAGUGGUCAUGCCAUCUGUCUCACAAGAUUCUAUGGAUUUUUCGAGAACACAGAAGAUCGCAGGUUCAAACCCUGCACGAGAUA